AUUGAACGCUGGCGACAGGCCUAACACAUGCAAGUCGAGCGCGAAAGUCUUCGGAUGAGUAAAGCGGCGAACGGGUGAGUAAUGCAUGGGAAUCUGCCUGGUAGUGGGGGACAACGUCUCGAAAGGGACGCUAAUACCGCAUACGCCUACGGGGGAAAGGGGGGAUCUUCGGACCUCUCGCUAUCAGAUGAGCCCAUGUCAGAUUAGCUAGUUGGUGAGGUAAAGGCUCACCAAGGCGACGAUCUGUAACUGGUCUGAGAGGAUGAUCAGUCACACUGGAACUGAGACACGGUCCAGACUCCUACGGGAGGCAGCAGUGGGGAAUAUUGGACAAUGGGGGCAACCCUGAUCCAGCCAUGCCGCGUGUGUGAAGAAGGCCCUAGGGUUGUAAAGCACUUUCAGUGGGGAGAAAGGUUAUUCACCUAAUACGUGAGUAGAUUGAUGUUACCCACAGAAGAAGCACCGGCUAACUCCGUGCCAGCAGCCGCGGUAAU
rnacentral:rRNA from 1 species